rnacentral:misc_RNA from 1 species
GAUGAAGAACGUAGCGAAAUGCGAUAAGUAAUGUGAAUUGCAGAAUUCAGUGAAUCAUCGAAUCUUUGAACGCACCUUGCGCCUUUUGGUAUUCCGAAAGGCACACCUGUUUGAGCGUCAUGAGUACCUCAAUCUCCAUCUUUUCUUCGGAUUGAUGGGUGACUUGGAUGUUGAGCCCUGCUGGUAUGCUAUAUCAGCUGGCUUUAAACUUAUUAGCCGGCUCUGUACUGGAUCGGUUUGACUCGACGUGAUAAUAUUAUCGUUGAGGAUGCAUGUCUCAUGCAGCCGGAAAGUAUCAAAGCAGCUUCUAGCUUGCCUUUAGUGCACUUUUACAUUUUAGACCUCAGAUCAGGUGGGACUACCCGCUGAACUUAAGCAUAUCAAUAAGCGGAGGA